AAUCAUAUGCUUGUCUCAAAG
rnacentral:rRNA from 1 species